rnacentral:rRNA from 1 species
AACGAACGCUGGCGGCAGGCCUAACACAUGCAAGUCGAGCGCGCCCUUCGGGGUUAGCGGCGGACGGGUGAGUAACGCGUGGGAACGUGCCCUUUUCUACGGAAUAGCCUCGGGAAACUGAGAGUAAUACCGUAUACGCCCUUUGGGGGAAAGAUUUAUCGGAAAAGGAUCGGCCCGCGUUGGAUUAGGUAGUUGGUGGGGUAAUGGCCUACCAAGCCGACGAUCCUUAGCUGGUUUGAGAGGAUGAUCAGCCACACUGGGACUGAGACACGGCCCAGACUCCUACGGGAGGCAGCAGUGGGGAAUCUUAGACAAUGGGGGCAACCCUGAUCGAGCCAUGCCGCGUGAGUGAUGAAGGCCUUAGGGUUGUAAAGCUCUUUCAGCUGGGAAGAUAAUGACGGUACCAGCAGAAGAAGCCCCGGCUAACUCCGUG